GGUGUAGCAAUACAUGCUGGCGACCGGCAAACGGGUGCGGAACACGUACGCAACCUUCCUUUAACUGGAGAAUAGCCCCUCGAAAGAGGGAUUAAUACUCCGUAACAUAUUGAUAAGGCAUCUUAUUAAUAUUAUAGCUCCGGCGGUUAAAGAUGGGCGUGCGCCUGAUUAGGUAGUUGGCGGGGUAACGGCCCACCAAGCCUUCGAUCAGUAACUGGUGUGAGAGCACGACCAGUCACACGGGCACUGAGACACGGGCCCGACUCCUACGGGAGGCAGCAGUAAGGAAUAUUGGUCAAUGGACGCAAGUCUGAACCAGCCAUGCCGCGUGGAGGAUUAAGGCCCUCUGGGUUGUAAACUCCUUUUAUCUGGGAAGAAAUCCAUAUAUUCUUAUGUGGUUGACGGUACCAGAGGAAUAAGCACCGGCUAACUCCGUGCCAGCAGCCGCGGUAAUACGGAGGGUGCAAGCGUUAUCCGGAUUCACUGGGUUUAAAGGGUGCGUAGGCGGGUAGGUAAGUCCGUGGUGAAAUCUCUGAGCUUAACUCAGAAACUGCCGUGGAUACUAUUUGCCUUGAAUAUUGUGGAGGUGAGCGGAAUAUGUCAUGUAGCGGUGAAAUGCUUAGAUAUGACAUAGAACACCAAUUGCGAAGGCAGCUCACUACACAAUGAUUGACGCUGAGGCACGAAAGCGUGGGGAUCAAACAGGAUUAGAUACCCUGGUAGUCCACGCCCUAAACGAUGAUUACUCGACAUCAGCGAUACACUGUUGGUGUCUGAGCGAAAGCAUUAAGUAAUCCACCUGGGAAGUACGUUCGCAAGAAUGAAACUC
rnacentral:rRNA from 1 species